rnacentral:rRNA from 1 species
UGAGACACGGCCCAGACUCCUACGGGAGGCAGCAGUGGGGAAUAUUGGACAAUGGGGGCAACCCUGAUCCAGCCAUGCCGCGUGUGUGAAGAAGGCUCUAGGGUUGUAAAGCACUUUAAGCAGGGAAGAUAGUGCGUUGGAUUAAUACUCCUACGUAUGGACGGUACCUGCAGAAUAAGCACCGGCUAACUCUGUGCCAGCAGCCGCGGUAAUACAGAGGGUGCGAGCGUUAAUCGGAAUUACUGGGCGUAAAGCGCGCGUAGGUGGUUUG